rnacentral:rRNA from 1 species
CCUACGGUACGCUGCAGUGGGGAAUAUUGGACAAUGGGCGAAAGCCUGAUCCAGCCAUGCCGCGUGUGUGAAGAAGGCCUUCGGGUUGUAAAGCACUUUCAGUGGGGAAGAAAGCCUUGGGGCUAAUACCCUCGAGGAAGGACAUCACCCACAGAAGAAGCACCGGCUAACUCCGUGCCAGCAGCCGCGGUAAUACGGAGGGUGCGAGCGUUAAUCGGAAUUACUGGGCGUAAAGCGCGCGUAGGCGGUCUGAUAAGCCGGUUGUGAAAGCCCCGGGCUCAACCUGGGAACGGCAUCCGGAACUGUCAGGCUAGAGUGCAGGAGAGGAAGGUAGAAUUCCCGGUGUAGCGGUGAAAUGCGUAGAGAUCGGGAGGAAUACCAGUGGCGAAGGCGGCCUUCUGGACUGACACUGACGCUGAGGUGCGAAAGCGUGGGUAGCAAACAGGAUUAGAUACCCGAGUAGUC